CGGAGGGAAACCGAGUCUUAAUUGGGCGUUAAGUUGCAGGGUAUAGACCCGAAACCCGGUGAUCUAGCCAUGGGCAGGUUGAAGGUUGGGUAACACUAACUGGAGGACCGAACCGACUAAUGUUGAAAAAUUAGCGGAUGACCUGUGGCUGGGGGUGAAAGGCCAAUCAAACCGGGAGAUAGCUGGUUCUCCCCGAAAGCUAUUUAGGUAGCGCCUCGUGAAUUCAUCUCCGGGGGUAGAGCACUGUUUCGGCUAGGGGGCCAUCCCGGCUUACCAACCCGAUGCAAACUGCGAAUACCGGAGAAUGUUAUCACGGGAGACACACGGCGGGUGCUAACGUCCGUCGUGAAGAGGGAAACAACCCAGACCGCCAGCUAAGGUCCCAAAGUCAUGGUUAAGUGGGAAACGAUGUGGGAAGGCCCAGACAGCCAGGAUGUUGGCUUAGAAGCAGCCAUCAUUUAAAGAAAGCGUAAUAGCUCACUGGUCGAGUCGGCCUGCGCGGAAGAUGUAACGGGGCUAAACCAUGCACCGAAGCUGCGGCAGCGAACGUAUCACCCAAGACAACUUUACGGAGUUGACGAUUGACGGAGCGAAGCGACGUCAAAGCGUUCAUUAAAGUCGAGUUGGCUUAGGGAUACGUUCGUUGGGUAGGGGAGCGUUCUGUAAGCCUGUGAAGGUGUGUCGUGAGGCAUGCUGGAGGUAUCAGAAGUGCGAAUGCUGACAUAAGUAACGAUAAAGCGGGUGA
rnacentral:rRNA from 1 species